GAUGAAGAACGCAGCGAAAUGCGAUAAGUAAUGUGAAUUGCAGAAUUCAGUGAACCAUCGAAUCUUUGAACGCACAUUGCGCCCGGCAGUAAUCUGCCGGGCAUGCCUGUCCGAGCGUCAUUUCUCCCCUCGAGCGCAGCUUUCCCCCCCGGGGGAGGGCCGCGCCCGGUGUUGGGGCGCUACGGAGGAGCCCAGCGCUCCCCCGUAGGCCCCGAAAUGUAGUGGCGGUCCCGCCGCGGCGCCCCCUGCGUAGUAGUUUUACAACUCGCAUCGGGUCCCGGCGGAGGCCAGCCGUCAAACCCCCCAACUUCAAUAGAUUGACCUCGGAUCAGGUAGGGUUACCCGCUGAACUUAAGCAUAUCAAUAAGCGGAGGA
rnacentral:misc_RNA from 1 species